CCUACGGGAGGCAGCAGUGAGGAAUAUUGGUCAAUGGUCGGGAGACUGAACCAGCCAAGCCGCGUGAGGGAGGAAGGUACAGAGUAUCGUAAACCUCUUUUGUCAGGGAACAAAGGCGGGGACGUGUCCCCGGAUGAGUGUACCUGAAGAAAAAGCAUCGGCUAACUCCGUGCCAGCAGCCGCGGUAAUACGGAGGAUGCGAGCGUUAUCCGGAUUUAUUGGGUUUAAAGGUGGCGCAGGCGGUCUGUUAAGUCAGCGGUCAAAGCCCGGGGCUCAACCCCGGCCCGCCGUUGAAACUGGCAGUCGCGAGUUGGAGAGAAGUAUGCGGAAGGCGCGGUGUAGCGGUGAAAUGCAUAGAUAUCGCGCAGAACUCCGAUUGCGAAGGCAGCAUGCCGGCUCCACACUGACGCUGAGGCACGAAAGCGUGGGUAUCGAACAGGAUUAGAUACCCGGGUAGUC
rnacentral:rRNA from 1 species